rnacentral:rRNA from 1 species
GAUGAACGCUGGCGGCGUGCUUAACACAUGCAAGUCGAACGGUGAACACGGAGCUUGCUCUGUGGGAUCAGUGGCGAACGGGUGAGUAACACGUGAGCAACCUGCCCCUGACUCUGGGAUAAGCGCUGGAAACGGCGUCUAAUACUGGAUAUGUGACGUGACCGCAUGGUCUGCGUCUGGAAAGAAUUUCGGUUGGGGAUGGGCUCGCGGCCUAUCAGCUUGUUGGUGAGGUAAUGGCUCACCAAGGCGUCGACGGGUAGCCGGCCUGAGAGGGUGACCGGCCACACUGGGACUGAGACACGGCCCAGACUCCUACGGGAGGCAGCAGUGGGGAAUAUUGCACAAUGGGCGCAAGCCUGAUGCAGCAACGCCGCGUGAGGGACGACGGCCUUCGGGUUGUAAACCUCUUUUAGCAGGGAAGAAGCGAAAGUGACGGUACCUGCAGAAAAAGCGCCGGCUAACUACGUGCCAGCAGCCGCGGUAAUACGUAGGGCGCAAGCGUUAUCCGGAAUUAUUGGGCGUAAAGAGCUCGUAGGCGGUUUGUCGCGUCUGCUGUGAAAUCCGGAGGCUCAACCUCCGGCCUGCAGUGGGUACGGGCAGACUAGAGUGCGGUAGGGGAGAUUGGAAUUCCUGGUGUAGCGGUGGAAUGCGCAGAUAUCAGGAGGAACACCGAUGGCGAAGGCAGAUCUCUGGGCCGUAACUGACGCUGAGGAGCGAAAGGGUGGGGAGCAAACAGGCUUAGAUACCCUGGUAGUCCACCCCGUAAACGUUGGGAACUAGUUGUGGGGUCCAUUCCACGGAUUCCGUGACGCAGCUAACGCAUUAAGUUCCCCGCCUGGGGGAGUACGGCCCGCAAGGCUAAAACUCAAAGGAAAUUGACGGGGAACCCGCACAAGCGGGCGGAGCCAUGCGGAUUAAUUUCGAUGCAACCCGAAGGAACCCUUUACCAAGGCUUGACAUAUACGAGAAACGGGCCCGAAAAUGGUCAACU